GAUGAACGCUGGCGGCGUGCCUAAUACAUGCAAGUCGAGCGAACGGACGAGAAGCUUGCUUCUCUGAUGUUAGCGGCGGACGGGUGAGUAACACGUGGAUAACCUACCUAUAAGACUGGGAUAACUUCGGGAAACCGGAGCUAAUACCGGAUGAUAUUUUGAACCGCAUGGUUCAAAAGUGAAAGACGGUCUUGCUGUCACUUAUAGAUGGAUCCGCGCUGCAUUAGCUAGUUGGUAAGGUAACGGCUUACCAAGGCAACGAUGCAUAGCCGACCUGAGAGGGUGAUCGGCCACACUGGAACUGAGACACGGUCCAGACUCCUACGAGACGCAGCAGUAGGGAAUCUUCCGCAAUGGGCGAAAGCCUGACGGAGCAACGCCGCGUGAGUGAUGAAGGUCUUCGGAUCGUAAAACUCUGUUAUUAGGGAAGAACAGAUGUGUAAGUAACUGUGCACAUCUUGACGGUACCUAAUCAGAAAGCCACGGCUAACUACGUG
rnacentral:rRNA from 1 species